rnacentral:rRNA from 1 species
UGCUUUUUGACACUAUAAAAAGUAACUCCUGCCCAGUGAAAUUAAACGGCCGCGGUAUCCUAACCGUGCAAAGGUAGCAUAAUAAUUUGCCCAUUAAUUGUGGGCUAGAAUGAACGGAAAUACGAAAUAAUAGCUGUAUCAGUAAAAUUAAUAAAAACUAUUUUUCAAGUGAAGAAACUUAAAUAAAAUUAAAGGACAAGAAGACCCUAUAGAGCUUUAUCAAAAUUAUAUAAAUAUAUAAAAUGAUUGGGUUGGGGCGACCUGGAAAAAAUCAUUCCAAAUAUAAAAGAAAAACAAAUCAAUUAAAAGAUCCUAAUAAGACUAAGAAAUAAGCUACCUUAGGGAUAACAGGCUAAUCCUAUUAUAGAGCUCUUAUCGACAAUAGGGAUUGGCACCUCGAUGUUGGCUUAGAAUAUCUUUAUGGCGCAGAUGUCAUAACAUGAAGGUUUGUUCAACCUAUAAUAUUC